rnacentral:rRNA from 1 species
GUACGGGGGGGGCAAGCGUUGUUCGGAAUUACUGGGCGUAAAGGGCUCGUAGGCGGCCAACUAAGUCAGACGUGAAAUCCCCAGGCUCAACCCUGGGAACUGCGUCUGAUACUGGAUGGCUUGAAUCCGGGAGAGGGAUGCAGAAUUCCAGGUGUAGCGGUGAAAUGACGUAGAUAUCUGGAGGAAUACCGGUGGCGAAGGCGGCAUCCUGGACCGGCAUUGACGCUGAGGAGCGAAAGCCAGGGGAGCAAACGGG